AACGUAGGAGACAAACGUUAUCCGGAGUUACUGGGCGUAAAGGGCGUGUAGGUGGUUUCGUAAGUCUGGCGUGAAAUAUCUCGGCUUAACCGAGGCAGGUCGUCGGAUACUGCGGAACUAGAGGACGGUAGAGGCGUGUGGAAUUCCUAGUGUAGCGGUGAAAUGCGCAGAUAUUAGGAGGAACACCGGUGGCGAAGGCGCUGCUCUGGGCCGAUACUGACGCUGAGGAGCGAAAGCGUGGGUAGCAAACAGG
rnacentral:rRNA from 1 species